rnacentral:rRNA from 1 species
UGCGUAGGAGACGAGCGUUGACCGGAAUUACUGGGCGUAAAGCGCGUGUAGGCGGAUGAGCAAGUCUGCUGUGAAAGCUCCUGGCUUAACCGGGAGUGGUCGGUGGAAACUGCUCGUCUGGAGGACGGUAGAGGUAGGUAGAAUUCCCGGUGUAGUGGUGAAAUGCGUAGAGAUCGGGAGGAAUACCUGUGGCGAAGGCGGCCUACUGGGCCGGACCUGACGCUGAGACGCGAAGGCGUGGGGAGCGAACGGG